rnacentral:miRNA from 1 species
AGAGUGACCAGCCAUCCAGGUUUGCCUGGGACUGAGGGGGUUCUAAGGAUGGGAACCUGGCUGAAUUUGGAUGAGUUGGUCACCCUAG